AUGCUCGCUUUGGCAGUACAUACACUAAAACUGGAACGAUACAGAGAAGAUUAGCAUGGCCCCUGCACAAGGAUGACACACAAAUUCGUGAAGCAUUCCAUUAAUAA
rnacentral:snRNA from 1 species